AUUAAUAAUUAUAUUUUUCAAACUUAAAGAAUUUGGCGGUGAUUUAGUCUUGUUAGAGGAACCUGUUUUUUAAUCGAUACGCCACGUAAAAUCUUACUCAUUUUAUAAGGUUUAUAUACCGUCAUUAUUAGAUAAUUUUAAGAAAAGUAAUUAUUAAAGUUUAGAUUGAAUCAAAUGAAAUUAGAUCAAGGUGUAGCUAAUAAAUGAGUUAAAAUGGGUUACAAUAAAUUUUAUUUAAUACGGAUAAAUUGUAAAGGAAGGAGAAUAAUGAAGGAGGAUUUAAUUGUAAUGUAAGUUUAAUAAGCUUUAAAGAUAUAAGCUCUAGAUCAA
rnacentral:rRNA from 1 species